rnacentral:piRNA from 1 species
UAGUGCAACUUGCUUUGGGAAAAAAAA